rnacentral:rRNA from 1 species
GAUGAACGCUGGCGGCGUGCCUAAUACAUGCAAGUCGAGCGAACGGACGAGAAGCUUGCUUCUCUGAUGUUAGCGGCGGACGGGUGAGUAAUACGUGGAUAACCUACCUAUAAGACUGGGAUAACUUCGGGAAACCGGAGCUAAUACCGGAUAAUAUUUUGAACCGCAUGGUUCAAAAGUGAAAGACGGUCUUGCUGUCACUUAUAGAUGGAUCCGCGCUGCAUUAGCUAGUUGGUAAGGUAACGGCUUACCAAGGCAACGAUGCAUAGCCGACAUGAGAGGGUGAUCGGCCACACUGGAACUGAGACACGGUCCAGACUCCGACGGGAGGCAGCAGUAGGGAAUCUUCCGCAAUGGGCGAAAGCCUGACGGAGCAACGCCGCGUGAGUGAUGAAGGUCUUCGGAUCGUAAAACUCUGUUAUUAGGGAAGAACAUAUGUGUAAGUAACUGUGCACAUCUUGACGGUACCUAAUCAGAAAGCCACGGCUAACUACGUG